rnacentral:tRNA from 1 species
CGGGGUGUGGCGCAGCUGGUAGCGCGCGUGCUUUGGGAGCAUGAGGCCCGGGGUUCGAGUCCCCGCACUCCGACCA